rfam:Dipodomys ordii contig_36932, whole genome shotgun sequence.
GGUGGCUCAGUGGUAAAGCACUUGCCUUGCAUGCAUGAGGCCCUGGGUUCGAUUCCUCAGCACCA